rnacentral:sRNA from 1 species
AAUCUCUCUGCCUGAGCCCCAGGCCUAUUCAGACCUCGCGGGGAGCGGCGUCCCCCAGGAGCAGUUACGCGAUCUAUUGGAUUAAGCGGGAGGAAAAAUGUUGGCCGGCCCAGUCACGGCCUCCGAGGAAGAGCACCUCUUCUCUUCUACCCGGGUUCUCGCAGUCACAGCUUCUACACGUCGUCUUCCCAGAUGACGGCAAUGUAUAGUACGUCCUGGUUCCUUUUGAAGACAGAUAAAAAGAAAUGGGCAGGGAGAACACCGAAAACAAUAACUCCUCCUCCAACAAGCAGAACCAACUCUCUCCUCUGGAAGGGGGCAAGCCGCUCAUGUCCAGCUCAGAAGAGGAAUUCUCACCUCCCCAAAGUCCAGACCAGAACUCGGUCCUUCUGCUGCAGGGCAAUAUGGGCCACGCCAGGAGCUCAAACUAUUCUCUCCCGGGCUUAACAGCCUCGCAGCCCAGUCACGGCCUGCAGGCCCACCAGCAUCAGCUCCAAGACUCUCUGCUCGGCCCCCUCACCUCCAGUCUGGUGGACUUGGGAUCCUAAGUGGGGAGGGACUGGGGCCUCGAAGGGAUUCCUGGAGCAGCAACCACUGCAGCGACUAGGGACACUUGUAAAUAGAAAUCAGGAACAUUUUUGCAGCUUGUUUCUGGAGUUCUUUGCGCAUAAAGGAAUGGUGGACUUUCACAAAUAUCUUUUUAAAAAUCAAAACCAACAGCGAUCUCAAGCUUAAUCUCCCUCUUCUCUCCAACUCUUUCCACUUUUGCAUUUUCCUUCCCAAUGCAGAGAUCAGGGAGGAAAAAAAAAAAAAACCCAAACAAACAAAAGCACCCAGGCACCCACUGUCAGUUCUGGGCAACUGAUACGCCUGUUUCAGCAGCCUUUCUUUUUUUUGAAUGAAUGGGAAUUGCAAAUCAACUGGAUUUUCAUUAUUUCCUUUUAAUUUAUAUAUGGAGAAAUGUGAAGAGGGAAAGGAAAUGGAGAGAGAAAGAGAAAGAGAAAGGGAGAUAAAAAUAGUGAAAAUAAGAGCCUCCAGGCUCAGAAGAACUGAUUACAUUCUUAAGGUGAACAGGAAAAAUACAAUCUAUAACUUUCUUUGAUGAAGAAAAAUUAAGUUUACAUUUUUCAUAUUUAGUGUUAAACAAUUUAAUGUAGAUUAAAAUAAAAGAACAGUAUUAGGAGGAAAAAACAAGUGCCUAAAUGUCUUAAUGCUCUCUAUGUGAGACAGAAAUAGACGUGACCAUUAGUAAUGCAACUAUUUUUGUCAGAUUUAGUGGGAUUUUUUGGUUGUUGUUUGUUUUCUUGGGUUUUUUUUUUUUUUUAAUGACAAACUCUAAAAAUGUACCAAUGUGAAAAAACACUUUCCUGAAUGCCAUUACUCAUGCCCUCAAAGCUUUCAUAUCUGUAGCCUACUCCUGUUAAGGGUUUCUCCUGUUUCUAGUUUCUAGUUUGCAAAGGUAUGCCAACGAAUCUGGCAACCUGGUAUUUGUUACUAAAACAGCAUGUGUUUUCAGGUUUCUUUUCUAUUGUACCUAAAGCAGUCUAAAUUAAAACUUAGUAGAACACCA